rnacentral:rRNA from 1 species
UACGAAGGGGGCUAGCGUUGCUCGGAAUUACUGGGCGUAAAGCGCGCGUAGGCGGGUCGUAAGUCGGGGGUGAAAUCCUGGAGCUCAACUCCAGAACUGCCUUCGAUACUGGCGAUCUUGAGUCCGGGAGAGGUGAGUGGAACUCCGAGUGUAGAGGUGAAAUUCGUAGAUAUUCGGAAGAACACCAGUGGCGAAGGCGGCUCACUGGCCCGGUACUGACGCUGAGGUGCGAAAGCGUGGGGAGCAACAGGAUA